rnacentral:rRNA from 1 species
GACAGGGGGGACAAGUAUUAUUUAAAAUGACUUGGCGUAAAGAGCAUAAAGAUGGUUUAUUUAAAAUAUAAAAUAAAAAAAUUAAAAUAGUUGUUUUAAUAUUUUUAUAAUUUUAAAAAACUUGAGUAUAAAAAAAGAUAAUAGAAUUUUUAAUGUAGGAAUAAAAUACAAAAAUAUUAAAAGGAAUAUCAAAAGCGAAAGCAAUUAUCUUGAUUAUAACUGACAUUAAAAUGCGAAAGUUUAGGUAGCGAACAGG